UUUCCGUAGGUGAGCCUGCGGAAGGAUCAUUAUUGUAUAACCGAGGUGCGAGGGCAGUCGCUGACCCGAAAGGUCGUGCACGCCCGAGUGCCCUCACACACAUCCAUCUCACCCCUAUGUGCACCACCGCGUGGGUCCCCCUUUGGCUUGUUCGGAGGGGGGCUUACGUUUUCACACAAACUUUGUAUGCAGUGUAGAAUGUAUUUUUUGUUUUUGCGAUCACGCAAUCAAUACAACUUUCAACAACGGAUCUCUUGGUUCUG
rnacentral:misc_RNA from 1 species